rnacentral:lncRNA from 1 species
CCGCGCAGAGAGAGAGAGAGAGAGAGAGAGAGAGAGAGAGAGAGAGAGAGAGAGAGAUGUUGCCAUAAAGAAUUAUCUUCUGCUAUUGCUCUCCAUCUUAUGUACUGAGGGAGGGUCUCUUCCUGAACCAGAAGCUAACUUCUUUGGCAAUUCUAGAUAUAUGGCCUUGACUUGAAGAGCCCCUCUUUUCACCUCCCAAGUGCUGAUAUUACCUGCAGGCCUGCUAAGCCUGUCUGGCUCAGUGAGUGAUUAUGUGAGUGAUUGGAAUCAAAAUUCAGUUUCUCACAUGUACAUGC